UUCUUCUUUGACAACUUUUUUGAGAUAUCAAAAUGACUAGAAGUUGCAGAUGAGUGCACCGAAAAAUAAAUCUAUGUCAUUUGACUUGGGUGCUCAAAAGAAUCAUUUACUGAGCACUCGGAGGUUGAAAAACUCAUUGACGAACUGAGGACGUCAGCCCAACAUCAGACAAACCAAACGGAUAUUCGUUUAGUGGAGAGAAACUGGCAAAGGUUUUCGUUCAUUCUAGAUCAAUACCAAGAGCAACCACAUUUGAUCGAGUCACACCUCGAUGGACUACUCACUAAAAUCAUCAACAUCAUUCGAGAGGAAGUGCUGGAUUAUGAGGUGAAACAUGUGGCCUUCCGAUGCCUCUACUUUAUAUCGAAAGUCAGGGGCUACAAAGUUGUAGCAAGACAUCUUCCUCAUGAGACUGCCGAUCUGGAGCCUUUGCUACAUUACUUGGAAAACCAAGACCCUGGUGUGCAACUAAAAUGGGAGACUCAUUACGGCUUGCUUCUCUGGCUCAGCAUUGUAGUUAAAAUCCCAUUCCACCUUCAGCGAUUUGACACCAGCACUUCAGAGCCAAUCAUGGAAAGAAUUCUGAAUGUCUGUAAGAAAUACCUGGCUGGGACAACAAAAGCUCAGGACAUGGCCUUUUAUGUAUCGGCAAUCUAUCUUACAAGGCCUGAUGUCAAAGAUUCCUAUCUACCGUGAUUCAUCAAUUGGGCUCAUGAGGCUCUUACCAAAGAUAGUGCUCAGUUAAAAAAAGGAGUUCUUUCAACGUUGGCCGGCGUAUUCAAACAUGGGCAAAGAGAACAAAUGAUGGAGCAUGCACAUGCUGUGCUGCGUACCAUCCUGGCGAUUAAAUUCCAACCGUCAGAAUUGCUUAUAGUUAAGAAACCGUUGGUGAAGCUGACGCAGCGAAUAGGUUUGAUAUUCUUGAAACCUCGAGUUGCGGGAGAGGAACAGACCUGGAGAUACCAGACUUGGAGAUACCAGCGGGGCAGCAGACCAUUAGCUGCCAAUCUGCAACAGAGCCAACCCGUUGAGACUAAAGCAGCUAUUUCGGUGAAUGAUGAAGAUGACCACGAUUACGACGUGCCGGAAGAAAUCGAAGAAGUACUUAACGAGAUCCUGCAAGACCCCCCCCCCCCCCCCCCGAGACAAGAACCGUGAAGUCCAGUACUCUGCAGCAAAAGGCAUUGGGCGGCUGACCAGUCGCUUAUCAAAGAACUUUGCCGACCAGAAAACACUGAACAAUAUAAAGCUGUACGUGAUGCCGCUUGUUACCUCUGCUGGGCUCUUGCCCGAUCCUAAGACCCGUCUCUGCACCAGCCAUUCGUCCAUCAGUUGGCCAUAGUCAUCACCACCGUGUUCGAUCGUGAGGUCAACUGCUGACGGGCUGCCGCUUCUGCCUUCCAGGAACACGUUGGUCGACAGGGCACUUUUCCUCACGGCAUCGACAUUCUGACCACCUGCGAUUAGUUCGCUUACGUAAAAAUGCCUAUCUCUUACUCAAUCUUUUCGUGGCGCAAUACGAAGAGUACCGGCCGCAUCUCAUCCAGCAUUUAGUGGAUCGUAAAGUCAUCCAUUGGGACACGGUUAUUCGACAGCUAACAUCUCAGGCCUUGCAUCAAAUGACGUUCCUCGAUCUGGAGAGUAUGAAACUGAUUCUUUCUACUCAGAUCCUUCCUCGCUGCACAAAUCCUGAACUUUAUUUACGGCACGGAAGCAUUUUGGCCAGUGGCAAAAGACCAUCAACGUCGUCUGCCAGAUGAACUUGGUGAUGCCGCGAUGGAAUCCAUUACCCAAACUUGUAUUGACAUCCUGGAGGAGCGUUUCUGAUGGAGUUUCGGCGGCGAUCCAAUGCGCAUAGCCGUUUGCCAUUUCAUCCAAGAUCUUAGUUCGGGGGGUUUCCCGUUGCUGGACGCUGUAGUCGACCGUUGGUUGAAGGCGUUACGAGAGUGUCUCGCUUCAGCCGAUUCAAAUGUCCAGCAAUCGGCCAUCAGCACCGUCACCGCUUUGAUUGGCGAAUACUUCCGGCAUCAGCUAGUGGAGAAACUCACUGCCUUGUUGAACCAUUUCCUACCCGAGGUGCCGAGCAACAACCAAAAGGCGAGAGUACGAAACCCACUAGCCCUGGGCUCAAUGCCUCGCUUCCUCCUCACCGUUUCCUUGCCGAAAGUCAUCCAACAGAUGUGCACCUGCGCUCUCAUCACCGACAAAACUCUCCAAUGGGCCGAAUAAUCUCGAAAAAAUGCUCUGACAGCUCUUUCGUUCGUCUGCACAACCAUUGGGAUCGCCCCAUCCAGCCCAGGUGGGGUUGAUCAAGUGACACCGUUGGCCGGAAUAUUCCGCACAUUCGUCGAUGGCCUUGAAAAUUACACGGUGGAUAGCCGUGGAGAUAUUGGAGCUAUCGUCCGUGAAUCGGCAAUGUAUUCUAUUCAGGUAUUGACCAACACCUCGCAACCAGAACUACUUGAAGCUGACCUGAUCUGCUCCGUAUUGCAUGCGGUGGCUAAACAUUCGACGGAAAAAUCCGUCGUACCCGGUUGUUGGCCACCAACGUCUUUUCUUCUCUCAUCUAAGUCUGUGAUCCCACCAUUCCUCACAUUGAGCAGUUGGAAGAAUUGCGUUCCAUCAUUCCACCGCCUCCGCUGGACAUUUCGACCGAGAAUGAAUGUUUCGAUUUGUGGAUGAAGGUGAUGCAACUCGACACUUACCGCAAAGCCGUCAUCACCGGACUUGUUUCCAGCAUCGGCAGUCUCACGGAGAGUUUGGUUAAAAGUUCCAGCGCUCCAUUCAUGAGUUACCUCCGCCAGUUGGUGGCCGAGAACAAAUUGGAUGAACUGAAUUUGGUUACCCGGGAUAUUCUAAACGUGUUUCAAGAGAAUUUGAAUAGUGUCCGACUGAUGCCGUACAUUUUCAACUUCCUGGACCAUCUCUUGUCGUCCGGAUGUUUGGAUUCCGUUUUCAAAUCCAUGUCACGGUCGCUGUUGACCUUGAUUCGUACUGAGAUGACCAAUGGCGGUAAACCGUUAAAAAGGUGAUCAAGUGACGUUCGAUAAAUCAAUCAUUCACCUGUUAAAUCUGCUAGUGAAUCGGUUCCCUCGCGUUCGUAAAAUCACGGCCACCAAGUUGUACGAGACGCUGCUGACUCUGACAGAUAUUAGCCCGUCGUUGGCCAAUCACCAAGACGACAUCUUGACCAUUCCCAGCGACACUGACUGGGACGAAAACGUCGAAGCUUUGAAGCCCGUCAAGACUCAGCUUCGCUCACUUUUCAUUCCGCCGACUUUGAAUCCUUGAAAUUCUUAGCCUUUCAUUCAAAUUAUUUGCUUAUUUAAAAUUAAAUAACCACCCGAAAUUGUGUCAUUAAUUUAUAGGAAAUACAAUUUCGAUUGUU
rnacentral:lncRNA from 1 species